GAUGAACGCUGGCGGCGUGCCUAAUACAUGCAAGUCGAGCGAACAGACGAGGAGCUUGCUCCUCUGACGUUAGCGGCGGACGGGUGAGUAACACGUGGAUAACCUACCUAUAAGACUGGGAUAACUUCGGGAAACCGGAGCUAAUACCGGAUAAUAUAUUGAACCGCAUGGUUCAAUAGUGAAAGACGGUUUUGCUGUCACUUAUAGAUGGAUCCGCGCCGCAUUAGCUAGUUGGUAAGGUAACGGCUUACCAAGGCAACGAUGCGUAGCCGACCUGAGAGGGUGAUCGGCCACACUGGAACUGAGACACGGUCCAGACUCCUACGGGAGGCAGCAGUAGGGAAUCUUCCGCAAUAGGCGAAAGCCUGACGGAGCAACGCCGCGUGAGGGAUGAAGGUCUUCGGAUCGUAAAACUCUGUUAUUAGGGAAGAACAAAUGUGUAAGUAACUAUGCACGUCUUGACGGUACCUAAUCAGAAAGCCACGGCUAACUACGUG
rnacentral:rRNA from 1 species